rnacentral:tRNA from 1 species
GGGCCUGUGGCUCAAAGAAGUAGGGUGCUGGCCCUAUAUGCCAGAGCUGGUGGGUUCAAACCCAGCCUGGCCAA